rnacentral:sRNA from 1 species
UCUGUAUGGACCCCCCUCGGGUAAAAGCC